GUGGGUUUAGCUCAGUUGGUUAGAGCGCCGCUCUGUGGAAGCGGAGGCCGGGGGUUCAAGUCCCCUAAUCCACCCCA
rnacentral:tRNA from 19 species